rnacentral:lncRNA from 1 species
CUCUCAGUGCCCAUACUUACAUCUCCUCCAGGGCUAUUGUGCCGAUUCCUUAAAAAUACAUUUAAUACUUGUACUAUGACCCUCAUUUUAUGUCUGGGAAUCAGAUGUUACAUCCAAAAGAUAAAGUGUUUGCCACAAGCCAUAAAAUACCUCGUGCUUAAACUCGUUAGCAUGCUUAUCACCACCAGAUCCAAAGCUGCCUCUAGCCAUAUACGAGCAUUUUCCUCCCGUUCUGCAAAAUAACAAGUGUAAGCAUGCAUAUGAUUUCAAUGAACCACUAUCCAUCAACAAUUCUCACAUUGAUAAAAGGAAUUCUAUGUCCCUAACUCCUCAUUAUUGAACACUUAAAUUUACAAAUAAACAAAACAUACAUUUUACAAAACUUAUCUAUCUUACUGAAGAUUUAUAACGCACCUUUAAAAAAGAUACACAAUUACAAAGUAUAAAAUUUCAGGGGCUACAAUUAAAAUCUACUUGUAAACUUAUAUUGUUCACUUAAUAAAAUCAACAUUAUCAAUUUCAGGGGCUACUUGAAAGAACAAUUAUCACGUAAGAAAUUAUAACAUCAUAUAAUAAAUAGAAUUAUUUUGCAUUUUUGGAAUACACACCCAUGACGCUUUUUUGUUUUCUUCUUCAAUUGGCUACUUUUCCCUACUUUUCCAUCACCAGACAGUGUGGAAUGCAAAAGUAUUUUACAUGAAAUGAAAACCAUCUGUUGUAAGAAGUAAUGCAUGCAAAAGUAACGUUCUUCAUUCAUGGGAUAGGGUUAAGAUAUGUUACAAUAAAAUAAAUGCUUGCUUUGGAGGGAGCUUCCCAGAUUGUCUCCAAUAUCAUAACAAUAGAUUUUUUAAACAAUACAAAGGGUCUAGCUAGAUUUUACAACAAAACUAGGUAAUUUUUCGAGCUAAACUUUUUAGAGUGAAAUCUCAGAAAGGCAAACUUCUUAACUAAAACUUUUAACGUUGUCCACAGAAAACCAAAAUAUAAAAGUAGAGGGACACAGACUAAAACAGAGCCAGAGAUGAAAAACUACACAUAAACUAAGCCUACUCUAGCAGAAGAUUCCUCUAAAAAACAUUGAAUAACAAAAAUAUUAAAAACCAAAGAAUGACAAAUUUCCAGACAUACUUCAUGCAAAACAGAUCCAGAGAACGCAGAUACAAGAGUUACAUUGCUAAAUGCUUUAUAUCUUCCAUCCUAGCACAGUAAAAGGGAAGCAUUGAACAUCCUUAUAUACAUCCUCUGAAUUCAUAUACUUUUCAUUUUUUUCAAGAUUGCUGCAUAUAGUUCCAAAAUCCAUUGGUGUAUCUAUGAUAUCAAAGUACUCCUGAUCCCAAAUAAAAGUAUGACAUAAGACACAAGUAAUUAUAUAAAAAAUAUGGUUCCAAGUUUUAUAAUCAAUCACGUUAUUCACUAUGGCUGAACAGAUAUCAUAGAUCCUUUGUAGGAUAUAACCUCUAUAUAGUAUUAGUAUAUCGAGAGAAACUUUACUAAAGAAUAAUUUCUGGAAGUACCCAGGACGUAGAAGACGGCUUCAUUGAAAAAAAAAAGGAAAUUUAACAAAACAAAACACUGUAAAAGGUUCAAUGACAGAAAUUGAGGAAGAGAAACAUCUAACAUCUCCAGAGAACGGAAACCAAACAUAAAAUAGGUGUCAUCCAUUUAUUUUAAGAAAAUAAGUUAUGGCAAAAAAAAAUUACUCACAGGAAUUCCCAGAGCUUCGGGAUUGACAGGAACGUUGAAGGGUUCAGCUGCAUCCAUUUUCAUCACCUUCUUCCAAAAUAAUAAUCCCAAAAACAGGAUAAAUAAAAGAACUUUUUUGAUAGGAAGGAACGAGAAGACGAAAGAAGUGUUGAAAAAUUACUGAGGAUAUACUGAAUAUAUCAGAUUUAGAAGAUAAGAUAGAAGGUAGGAAAUCAAGAGAGAAAAUAGAGAUUGAGA